CUUGAAUGCCCUUCCUCUCCAAUUCUCUGUGCAACCUCACCCAAGCCCUAGUCGCUGCCAUCCAAAUUAACCCUAAUCCCACUCGAUUCUCACUCAAUCCAUGGAUUCCUAUGGAUGUUUGGGAUGUGUACUCGUCUCCUACGUCUUCUGGUGGCUUGCUUUUCUACUAUCGUGGAAAGAUCUCGAAGAGAUCUAGUCCAGUCCUUGC
rnacentral:lncRNA from 1 species